rnacentral:misc_RNA from 1 species
CUGCGUUACCGAUUGCAGCAAUUGUUUGAGCUCUUUUUUGUUUAAAAAAAGCGAGUGCGAAAAGCGGGGUAUUUC